GCCGGUGAUUAUUGCGAAAGUGUUACACCCGAUCCCAUUCCGAACUCGGAAGUUAAGCCUUUCAGCGCCGAUGGUACUUUGUCUUAAGAUACGGGAGAGUAGGUCAUUGCCGGCA
rnacentral:rRNA from 1 species